UACGAAGGGGGCUAGCGUUGCUCGGAAUCAUUGGGCGUAAAGGGUGCGUAGGCGGUUUGUACAGUCAGGUGUGAAAUUCCCGGGCUCAACCUGGGGGCUGCACUUGAUACGUAGGAACUUGAGUGGGGAAGAGGGUCGUGGAAUUCCCAGUGUAGAGGUGAAAUUCGUAGAUAUUGGGAAGAACACCGGUGGCGAAGGCGGCGACCUGGUCCUUGACUGACGCUGAGGCGCGAAAGCCAGGGGAGCAAACGGG
rnacentral:rRNA from 1 species